UUAGGCAUUGUGGUGUUUAGGUUGGCUCGUGGGAUUGCCGCUCCACUCUAAGUCCAGUAUUGAGUAUGGUUUCUGGAUUUGGCCCAGAGAGGGUGAGAGGCCCGUGGGGGUGGAGUUUCAGACAUGAUUGGCAAUUCACCAGGUCAGCCUCAGAGUCGGGUUGUUUGAGAAUGCAGCCCAAAGCGGGUGGUAAACUCCAUCCAAGGCUAAAUACUAGCACGAGUCCGAUAGCGAACAAGUACCGUGAGGGAAAGUUGAAAAGUACUCUGAAGAGAGAGUAAACAGUACGUGAAACCGCAUGGAGGUAAACGGGUGGCGUCAAGCUGCAAGCCUGGAGAAUUCAGUCGGUUGAUGGUCGGUUGGACUAGUCUGUGUUACAGGCCUGCUCUGCAGGAUUUGCUGUCCACUUUGGUUGGUGGAGCAAACUGGUUCGACUUAUGGCUGUUGAUCGGUGCACUUUCUCCGUGGUGGACACCACGACCGGUGGUACUGCCAGUCUGCUUUGGUCAAGUCUUUGUUGUCUCUCUGAGGCAGCUUGGAUCACAUGCAAUUUCAGUGCACGGUGCUUGAGCGUUUCGGCGAUUGAGCAUGUUAUCGGACACUGGUUGUAAACGGGCGUGCGUGAUGAUUGUGAAUUGUUGCGUGCGCUUGGUGGACCUUUGUGGUAUGAAUAACUGUGCAGGGCACCGUUGUUAGCGGUCUCUAAUCUGGUUGCUGCCCACUUCACAAGUGGUCGUGUGAGCGUUGUUCAUGCUUGCCUGUGCUUCGAUCUGAUUGUCGUGUUGCCUGCGCAAAGU
rnacentral:rRNA from 1 species